UCAUUGAACGCAUCACAGUGCCGUGAGCAAAGGCCUAGUCCAACUGCAGAAUUUCUUCUUUUCCUCCCGUCGAUCUGGUGAGAUGCAUGCUGUUCUGGUGCCCUCUGCGAUCUGGAAACCUGGAGAGAGAAAUCAUGAAGCGGUACGCGCUGAGCCGAGUCCGACAAGCAUCCGCCAUUACACCAACUCCUCUGCAUCCGGGUGUGUGUAGGCUGGUUUUUCCUUUGGUAUCCUGUUCCUACUGGAUGAUGUUCCUCAUCUGAUGACUCCACUGAAACAUCCUACCUGGUAGAUGGUCGUUGCUGCAAGUGGAUGCUUCUGCUUUCUGGAUGCUGUUACUGGAUACUACACUGUUCCAACAGGGUGGUAGGAACAAAUUGGAGGGCCCCAACGUUGCACUUUACCUUUCCCUGAGCUCAGGUGUUUGUUUGUUUUUUGGCCAAAGGACCUUGAUAAAUUUUUUUUGUU